UACGAAGGGGGCUAGCGUUGCUCGGAAUCACUGGGCGUAAAGGGCGCGUAGGCGGCCGAUCAAGUCAGGGGUGAAAGCCUGUGGCUCAACCACAGAAUUGCCUUUGAUACUGUUUGGCUAGAGACCGGAAGAGGCUAGUGGAACUGCGAGUGUAGAGGUGAAAUUCGUAGAUAUUCGCAAGAACACCAGUGGCGAAGGCGGCUAACUGGUCCGGUUCUGACGCUGAGGCGCGAAAGCGUGGGGAGCAAACAGG
rnacentral:rRNA from 1 species